rnacentral:rRNA from 1 species
UCUCCCUGGAAAACGGGUGGUAAUGCCGGAUGCUCCGACUCCUCGCAUGGGGUGUCGGGAAAGAUUUCAUCGGUAUGGGAUGGGGUCGCGUCCUAUCAGGUAGUCGGCGGGGUAACGGCCCACCGAGCCUACGACGGGUAGCCGGCCUGAGAGGGCGACCGGCCACAUUGGGACUGAGAUACGGCCCAGACUCCUACGGGAGGCAGCAGUGGGGAAUAUUGCACAAUGGGCGCAAGCCUGAUGCAGCGACGCCGCGUGCGGGAUGACGGCCUUCGGGUUGUAAACCGCUUUUGAUCGGGAGCAAGCCUUCGGGUGAGUGUACCUUUCGAAUAAGCACCGGCUAACUACGUGCCAGCAGCCGCGGUAAUACGUAGGGUGCAAGCGUUAUCCGGAAUUAUUGGGCGUAAAGGGCUCGUAGGCGGUUCGUCGCGUCCGGUGUGAAAGUCCAUCGCUUAACGGUGGAUCUGCGCCGGGUACGGGCGGGCUGGAGUGCGGUAGGGGAGACUGGAAUUCCCGGUGUAACGGUGGAAUGUGUAGAUAUC